rnacentral:rRNA from 1 species
UACGGGGGGAGCAAGCGUUGUUCGGAUUUACUGGGCGUAAAGGGCGCGUAGGCGGCGCAACAAGUCACUUGUGAAAUCUCCGGGCUUAACCCGGAGCGGUCAAGUGAUACUGUCGUGCUAGAGUGCGGAAGGGGCUACUGGAAUUCUCGGUGUAGCGGUGAAAUGCGUAGAUAUCGAGAGGAACACCUGCGGCGAAGGCGGGACUCUGGGCCGAUACUGACGCUGAGGAGCGAAAGCGUGGGGAGCAAACAGG